UGGGGAAUAUUGCACAAUGGGCGAAAGCCUGAUGCAGCAACGCCGCGUGAGUGAUGAAGGUCUUCGGAUUGUAAAGCUCUGUCUUUUGGGACGAUAAUGACGGUACCAAAGGAGGAAGCCACGGCUAACUACGUGCCAGCAGCCGCGGUAAUACGUAGGUGGCGAGCGUUGUCCGGAUUUACUGGGCGUAAAGGGUGCGUAGGCGGAUGUUUAAGUGAGAUGUGAAAUACCCGGGCUUAACUUGGGUGCUGCAUUUCAAACUGGAUAUCUAGAGUGCAGGAGAGGAGAAUGGAAUUCCUAGUGUAGCGGUGAAAUGCGUAGAGAUUAGGAAGAACACCAGUGGCGAAGGCGAUUCUCUGGACUGUAACUGACGCUGAGGCACGAAAGCGUGGGUAGCAAACAGGAUUAGAUACCCUGGUAGUCCACGCCGUAAAACGAUGAGUACUAGGUGUAGGAGGUAUCGACCCCUUCUGUGCCGCAGUAAACA
rnacentral:rRNA from 1 species